UAAAUAGAGCUUUGCUCGUGAACCAAAUAUGGUGGGCUGGGUUGUCUUUGCGGAAACGCUYGGGCGACUUGUCUACGAAUUGUAAUCAUAAUAUGGGCGGCGGUGAAUCCUUUGCAGACGACUUGAAUGGGAACGGGGUACUGUAAGUGGUAGAGUAGCCUUGUUGCUACGAUCCACUGAGGUUAAGCCCUUGUUCUAAAGAUUUGU
rnacentral:rRNA from 1 species